GAUGAACGCUGACAGAAUGCUUAACACAUGCAAGUCUUUGGCGAAGCUGUGCUUGCACAGCCUAGCCAAGGCGGACGGGUGAGUAACGCGUAAGGAACUUGCCCUGCAGUCAGGGAUAACAGACGGAAACGACUGAUAAGACCUGGUAAAGUCAGGCGGACUCAUGUCCAGCCUGAUGAAAAGAGAUGCUGCAGGAGAGCCUUGCGUCCUAUUAGCUUGUUGGUGGGGUAACGGCCCACCAAGCCGAUGAUAGGUAGCCGGCCUGAGAGGGUGGACGGCCACAAGGGGACUGGGAUGCAGCCGUUACUCCUACGGGAGGCAGGGGUGGAGAAUAUUGGAGAAUGGGGGCAACAGUGAUGCAGCAAUUCUGUGUGCACGAUGAAGGUUUUCGGAUUGUAAAGUGCUUUCAGCAGGGAAGAAAAAAAUGACGGUACCUGCAGAAGAAGCGACGGCUAAAUACGUG
rnacentral:rRNA from 1 species